rnacentral:rRNA from 1 species
AGUGAGCGGCAAAGCUCAAUUUGAAAUCUGGUACCUUCGGUGCCCGAGUUGUAAUUUGGAGAGGGCAACUUUGGGGCCGUUCCUUGUCUAUGUUCCUUGGAACAGGACGUCAUAGAGGGUGAGAAUCCCGUGUGGCGAGGAGUGCGGUUCUUUGUAAAGUGCCUUCGAAGAGUCGAGUUGUUUGG